rnacentral:tRNA from 1 species
GCGACUGAAGUGUUCAGGCUGCACGCCGCCCCGCCACGGCGGAAGAGCGAGUUCGAUUCUCGUCAGUCGCUCCA